CAAGGCUGAAACUCAAAGGAAUUGGGGGGGGCCCGCACAAGCGGUGGAGCAUGUGGUUUAAUUCGACGCAACGCGAAGAACCUUACCGGGACUUGACAUUGUCUUGCCCAUCUAAGAAAUUAGAUUUUCUUCCCUUCGGGGAAGACGAGAUAACAGGUGGUGCAUGGUUGUCGUCAGCUCGUGUCGUGAGAUGUUGGGUUAAGUCCCACAACGAGCGCAACCCUUGUCCUUAGUUGCCAGUUUGUUUACAAACGCACUCUAAGGAGACUGCCGCAGAUAAUGCGGAGGAAGGUGGGGAUGACGUCAAAUCAUCAUGCCCCUUACGUCCCGGGCUACACACGUGCUACAAUGGCCUGUACAGAGGGUUGCGAAAGAGCAAUCUCUAGCCAAUCCCUUAAAACAGGCCCAAGUUCGGAUUGGAGGCUGCAACUCGCCUCCAUGAAGUUGGAAUCGCUAGUAAUCGCGGAUCAGCAAUGCCGCGGUGAAUACGUUCCCGGGUCUUGUACACACCGCCCGUC
rnacentral:rRNA from 2 species